AAACUUUCAACAACGGAUCUCUUGGCUCCAGCAUCGAUGAAGAACGCAGCGAAACGCGAUAUGUAAUGUGAAUUGCAGAAUUCAGUGAAUCAUCGAAUCUUUGAACGCACAUGGCGCCUUCCAGUAUCCUGGGAGGCAUGCCUGUCCGAGCGUCGUUUCAACCCUCGAGCCCUCGUGGCCCGGCGUUGGGG
rnacentral:rRNA from 1 species